rnacentral:rRNA from 1 species
AACGAACGCUGGCGGCAUGCCUAACACAUGCAAGUCGAACGAGACCUUCGGGUCUAGUGGCGCACGGGUGCGUAACGCGUGGGAACCUGCCUUUAGGUUCGGAAUAACUCAGAGAAAUUUGAGCUAAUACCGGAUGAUGUCUUCGGACCAAAGAUUUAUCGCCUUUAGAUGGUCCCUCGUUGGAUUAGCUUGUUGGUGGGGUAAAGGCCUACCAAGGCGACGAUCCAUAGCUGGUCUGAGAGGAUGAUCAGCCACACUGGGACUGAGACACGGCCCAGACUCCUACGGGAGGCAGCAGUGGGGAAUAUUGGACAAUGGGCGAAAGCCUGAUCCAGCAAUGCCGCGUGAGUGAUGAAGGCCUUAGGGUUGUAAAGCUCUUUUACCCGAGAUGAUAAUGACAGUAUCGGGAGAAUAAGCUCCGGCUAACUCCGUG